UACGGGAGGCAGCAGUGGGGAAUUUUGGACAAUGGGCGCAAGCCUGAUCCAGCCAUUCCGCGUGCAGGAUGAAGGCCUUCGGGUUGUAAACUGCUUUUGUACGGAACGAAACGGUCCUGGUUAAUACCCGGGGCUAAUGACGGUACCGUAAGAAUAAGCACCGGCUAACUACGUGCCAGCAGCCGCGGUAAUACGUAGGGUGCAAGCGUUAAUCGGAAUUACUGGGCGUAAAGCGUGCGCAGGCGGUGAUGUAAGACAGAUGUGAAAUCCCCGGGCUCAACCUGGGAACUGCAUUUGUGACUGCAUCGCUGGAGUGCGGCAGAGGGGGAUGGAAUUCCGCGUGUAGCAGUGAAAUGCGUAGAUAUGCGGAGGAACACCGAUGGCGAAGGCAAUCCCCUGGGCCUGCACUGACGCUCAUGCACGAAAGCGUGGGGAGCAAACAGGAUUAGAUACCCUGGUAGUCCACGCCCUAAACGAUGUCAACUGGUUGUUGGGUCUUCACUGACUCAGUAACGAAGCUAACGCGUGAAGUUGACCGCCUGGGGAGUACGGCCGCAAGGUUGAAACUC
rnacentral:rRNA from 1 species